CAGCAGCCGCGGGAAUACGGAGGAUCCAAGCGUUAUCCGGAAUCAUUGGGUUUAAAGGGUCCGUAGGCGGUCUUGUAAGUCAGUGGUGAAAGCCCAUCGCUCAACGGUGGAACGGCCAUUGAUACUGCAGGACUUGAAUUAUUGGGAAGUAACUAGAAUAUGUAGUGUAGCGGUGAAAUGCUUAGAGAUUACAUGGAAUACCAAUUGCGAAGGCAGGUUACUACCAAUUGAUUGACGCUGAUGGACGAAAGCGUGGGUAGCGAACAGGAUUAGAUACCCGUGUAGUCCCUGUCUCUUAUAC
rnacentral:rRNA from 1 species